GAUGAACGCUGGCGGCGUGCCUAAUACAUGCAAGUCGAGCGAACGGACGAGAAGCUUGCUUUUCUGAUGUUAGCGGCGGACGGGUGAGUAACACGUGGAUAACCUACCUAUAAGACUGGGAUAACUUCGGGAAACCGGAGCUAAUACCGGAUAAUAUUUUGAACCGCAUGGUUCAAUAGUGAAAGACGGUCUUGCUGUCACUUAUAGAUGGAUCCGCGCUGCAUUAGCUAGUUGGUAAGGUAACGGCUUACCAAGGCAACGAUGCAUAGCCGACCUGAGAGGGUGAUCGGCCACACUGGAACUGAGACACGGUCCAGACUCCUACGGGAGGCAGCAGUAGGGAAUCUUCCGAAAUGGGCGAAAGCCUGACGGAGCAACGCCGCGUGAGUGAUGAAGGUCUUCGGAUCGUAAAACUCUGUUAUUAGGGAAGAACAUAUGUGUAAGUAACUAUGCACAUCUUGACGGUACCUAAUCAGAAAGCCACGGCUAACUACGUG
rnacentral:rRNA from 1 species